rnacentral:rRNA from 1 species
CAGUAGCCACGGUAAUACGUAGGUGGCAAGCGUUGUCCGGAAUUAUUGGGCGUAAGGGGCUCGCAGGCGGUUUCUUAAGUCUGAUGUGAAAGCCCCCGGCUCAACCGGGGAGGGUCAUUGGAAACUGGGAAACUUGAGUGCAGAAGAGGAGAGUGGAAUUCCACGUGUAGCGGUGAAAUGCGUAGAGAUGUGGAGGAACACCAGUGGCGAAGGCGACUCUCUGGUCUGUAACUGACGCUGAGGAGCGAAAGCGUGGGGAGCGAACAGGAUUAGAUACCCCUGUAGUCCCUGUCUCUUAUAC